rnacentral:tRNA from 1 species
GACAUACGUGCCUUAGCGUACAGUCGAACAGAUUGAGCGCGCGUUGCAAACGAGCGCCUUCCAUCUUCCAGGGCGCUUUGUAAACCGUGGGUCGUGGGUUCGAAUCCCUCUGUCGGCUCCA